rnacentral:rRNA from 1 species
UACGAAGGGGGCUAGCGUUGUUCGGAAUCACUGGGCGUAAAGGGCGCGUAGGCGGCUUUAUAAGUCGGGGGUGAAAGCCUGUGGCUCAACCACAGAAUUGCCUUCGAUACUGUAGAGCUUGAGACCGGAAGAGGUAAGUGGAACUGCGAGUGUAGAGGUGAAAUUCGUAGAUAUUCGCAAGAACACCAGUGGCGAAGGCGGCUUACUGGACAUGUAUUGACGCUGAGGUGCGAAAGCGUGGGGAGCAAACAGG